rnacentral:rRNA from 1 species
AGUGAACGCUGGCGGUAGGCCUAACACAUGCAAGUCGAACGGCAGCACAGUAAGAGCUUGCUCUUACGGGUGGCGAGUGGAGGACGGGUGAGGAAUACAUCGGAAUCUACUUUUUCGUGGGGGAUAACGUAGGGAAACUUACGCUAAUACCGCAUACGACCUACGGGUGAAAGCAGGGGAUCUUCGGACCUUGCGCGAUUGAAUGAGCCGAUGUCGGAUUAGCUAGUUGGCGGGGUAAAGGCCCACCAAGGCGAUGAUCCGUAGCUGGUCUGAGAGGAUGAUCAGCCACACUGGAACUGAGACACGGUCCAGACUCCUACGGGAGGCAGCAGUGGGGAAUAUUGGACAAUGGGCGCAAGCCUGAUCCAGCCAUACCGCGUGGGUGAAGAAGGCCUUCGGGUUGUAAAGCCCUUUUGUUGGGAAAGAAAAGCAGCAGGUUAAUACCCCGCUGUUCUGACGGUACCCAAAGAAUAAGCACCGGCUAACUUCGUG